UAAAUACUAAUGGAAUCAAGUAUUUUGCAUAAAGUUUUCAUUUGUUGUCUCUAACUCUAUGUUUUGUGUUUUGUAUGUAGUAUUAAAGUAUGUGUAUAUCAAUU